CCCCUCAUAUGGAACAAUAAGAUAAGGCAGCAGAGGAAAGCCUGCAUCUCCAAUUAUAUAUUCCCUUAUUUCUGAUCCUUCAGAGAGCUGUAGUUUUUUCCCAUUCAACCUUUCUCCCCUUUCACAAAGUUUAUAGAAGUUUGAACUCUGAAACACCACCCAAUCUUGCAUUUUUCCUGGCCAUCCAGUAACUAUGUCUAGGAACCUCAUCUCAGGGUCUACAACUACCUGCAAGAUCAUGCUGUGAUUCUUCUCAUGAUCAAGCCACACAUUACUUGAAGGGUCUGAGGAAGGUAACAGCAUCAUAAUGUGAGUGGUUUCAGUCACACCACAACAAUUGGGCAGACCUCGUAUUUUCUCGAACUUGGAUUUGAUUUUUGUCAUUUCUGAUUCACUAGAAGGCCAUUUUAGGUGUUGA
rnacentral:misc_RNA from 1 species